rnacentral:rRNA from 1 species
AUGAAGCACAGAUCGCCGAGGACCCGGUGCGCGCCGCCGCCGGUGGGAGUGCCAGCGCGCGGCUGGGGAGGGAGGACGCUGCUGGUGGCGGUUCGGAGGGACGCGGCCGGGAGGGAGCUGCUCACCUGGGCGCUGGCCAAGGCCGCCUCCGCCGGCGAUCUCGUUGUUGCCCUCCACGUCACGGCCGCCGGAGCUGCCGACGGGUUCGGGCCGGAUGAGAGGAGCAGAGCCGCCGAUUCGCUGGCCUCCGUGCUCGGCGCGGUCUGCCAUGGGUCAUCCGUCAAGAGGGCUUUGGUAAACGAGGCCAUCUCCUACGGCGCCGCGCAACUCAUCCUCGGGAUCACCAAGAACUCUAGGCAUCUCGGGUACAUAACCACUCUUGCUCCUGCGCAUCACAUUCUGAUUGUCUGCCACCGUUGUGGCCAAGUACUGCGCGAAGAGGAUCCCGCAGAGCUGCACGGUUCUCGCCGUCAGCAAUGGCGCUGUCGUGUACCAUGGGAACGCAAUACAGGAGGAGAUCAACCACUGCUGCACUACAAGUAUGCUGCCCAUAAUGUUUCUUCUGCGCCUUUUUGGGGAAACUAUUCUCUGGUGGCGGAGACACCACGAAGAAUCUACCGGAAGAUACUCGACGCAGCGGCGACGAUUGGGGAGAAAACUAAGGAUGACUCAUCCAUCGGCCAUCGCCGGUCCUUGCAGUGGAACAUGUCAAUGUCGAUGAGCGCCCCCGUCUCGCCAAAGGUAGCGGCAGCACCACCGACUCCGAUGACAUGUCACAGGCUGGAACUGCCGGAGGUGGACAUGUACCUGGCUGGGUGGGCGGCCCGCCUUCUUUCGCCGGCCGGCCGUCUAGUCCUCAUCAACGCAGUCCUGGAUGCGCUUCCCACGUACGCAAUGGCCGCGCUGCUUCUUCCUCCUUCGGUGGUCAACGCCAUGGACGCCCUGCGGCGCUCUUUCCUCUGGAACGUGGCUGAGCGGGCAUCGGGGGCCCAAUGCUUAGUCGCAUGGGAACGAGUGUGCAGGGCAAAGAGCGAAGGUGGCCUCGGCGUUCGCGACCUCGCCACCCAGAACGCGUGCCUCCUCCUAAAGAUGCUUCAUCGACUCCACUCGAUGCCCCGAGCACCGUGCUCGGUUGCAAAACUGCUCCCGCUCUACUGCACGAUAUCCAGGGUGGUGGUCGGGGACGGCCGGGCCUGCUCCUUCUGGUGGGACUCCUGGCUCCCCUGCGGGCCUGUGGCGGUGGCGUUCCCCGCACUCUUCUCCCAUGCUGUCGAUGGCGAGGCGACGGUGUGGCAGGUCCGCCGGAGCGGCCUGGCAGGUUGUCUGGUCCCCAGGCUGACAAGGGUGGGCACCAGUGAACUGCAGGCCGUGUCGGCUCUCCUGGAGGCUGCUCCCCCCGCUGUGGGGGAGGACACGAGGACACUACGGCAUGCUGCGGCGCCCCACGAGGCUCUGUCGUCGAGCGCCGCCUACCGGCUGCUGCGUUUCGGCGGGAUGAGGGCGGGCUUCGCGGACAUGAUUUGGGGUGCACGGGUCCCCUCCCGCGUGCAAUUCUUCAGCUGGUUACUGGUCCAGAGGCGCAUACACACUCGAGAUGUCCUUCUGCGCAAGUGCAUCGUCGACGCGGCGGGCGCCGGCUGCCCGUUAUGCGCGGCACCCUUGGAGACGGCCGAUCACAUGUUGUUCGCCUGCCCGUUCGCGAGGGCCUUCUGGAAUGAGCUCGGCGUUAACGCCGACGGGGUCGAGGUGGGCAGGCUGCAUCGCCUUGCCGCUGCGGUGGGUGCGGUGAUCAGGUCGGCGGUGGAGUUCGCUCUUCUGUGCUGCUGGCACCUCUGGAAACACAGGAACGCCGUGGUCUUCCAAAGGCAGCAACCGUCUCUGCGGUGGGUGCUUGGAUGCUGCCGCGAGGACGCCGUUCUGUGGCGCGAUCGGCUCCCCGAGAGCCGGAGGGUGCACGUUGAGAACUGGCUGCAGGCCCUCUCAGAAUAG